rnacentral:misc_RNA from 1 species
GGCGCUUCUUGUGCAGCUCGGCCUUUGCGUCAAUCUUUUCUUCACAUUCCCGAUUAUGAUGCAUCCAGUUUACGAGGUUGCUGAGCGGUGGUUAUGUGGGAAGCGGUACUGUAUUUGGCUGCGGUGGACGGCGGUGAUGGCGGUGAGCCUGGUGGCGCUGCUGGUGCCGAACUUUGCAGAUUUUCUGUCUCUCGUUGGAAGUAGUGUGUGUUGUAUUCUUGGAUUUGUGCUGCCGGCGGUGUUUCAUUUGAAGAUAUUCAGGAAUGAGUUGGGGUGGAUGUGGAUGGUUUCGGAUGUGGCCAUUGUAGUGAUCGGGAUUGUGUUCGCUGUUUCGGGUACUUAU